AAUGCUUAAAAUGCUUAAAUGCUCAAAUGCUUAUAUGCUUAUAUGCUUCAAUGAUUAAAUGCUUAAAGGCUUAAAUGCCUAAAUGCUUGAAUGUUUAAAUGCUUAAAUGCUUAAAUAAAUAAAUUNUUAAAUGCUUAAUUCUUAAUGUUUCUUGCUUAAUGCUUAAUAAUGAUUAAUUUGCUUCUACCCUUCUAUGCUUAAAUGUUUAAAUGCUUAAAUGCUUAAAUUCCUAAAUGCAUAAAAUGCUUACAUGCUUAAAUGCUUA
rnacentral:lncRNA from 1 species